CUUCGAAUACACUAAAGAAUACCAAAAAAUGAUUACAACAUUACGAUAAGGACCUAUUUUGUAAUUUGAAAAUUAAAAUAAAAUCGUCCAUCACUUAACGUUUAUCGCUUACACAGUCCGAAAAACAAGGUGAUACUCACACGACCAAAAAUACAAAUGAAACGUCUCACAUUUAUCACGUUUCUACACAAAAGAGCAUUUCGUACCAAUAACAUUGAAAUCAUUUAAAUUGACUUUGUUAAAGGUAAACUUCUUAUUGACAUAUUGCCUCGAUUUUAUACAUAAUGCAUGUAGUGCAUGCUAAAAGGUAUUAUGCACCGUUUAAAUAACGACUGAGAGGUGGUUCAAUGAGUUUUGAUCUUAUUUUUAUUUCGAAUUGUGUUCAUUUUUUCAACUUCUGUUGUUGAUCGUGAAGCUGUGCGACAAAGUCUUAAUUCAGAAAAGUCUUAAAAAAUAAGAAAAAUCAAAAAUGUGUUUCUCGUGUUGUUGUGAAGAAUCCGUUCCCGUCACGACUACUGUAUAUUCUACACCCGUUCAUGAGCAUGUAGUAACAACGCAACCACAUUCCGUUUAUUUGGAAGAACCCAUUCAUGUAGUGAGUACUACAAACUAUCCCACAACUAUCGUCACAGAGCACACCGUUACUGAUAUGGGAUCAACAGGAUUCAGUGAUUCUUAUUCCUAUUGAUGUUCAAAUCAUAUUCUAAAUAAUAAAAUGUUAAAA